rnacentral:misc_RNA from 1 species
GAUGAAGAACGUAGCGAAAUGCGAUACUUGGUGUGAAUUGCAGAAUCCCGUGAACCACCGAGUCUUUGAACGCAAGUUGCGCCCGAAGCCAUCAGGUUGAGGGCACGUCUGCCUGGGCGUCACAUAUCGUUGCCCAAUGCCUAUUGCAGUGCAAUAGGAAUUUCUAGGGCGAAUGAUGGCUUCCCGUGAGCGUUGUUGCCUCGCGGUUGGUUGAAAAUCGAGUCCUUGGUAGGGUGUGCCAUGGUAGAUGGUGGUCGAGUUAGAACGAUACCGAUCAUGUGCAUGCUCCCCAAAAUAUGGCCUCUAUGACCCACACGCGUCUUUUGACGCUCAUGACGAGACCUCAGGUCAGGCGGGGCUACCCGCUGAAUUUAAGCAUAUCAAUAAGCGGAGGA